GGCAUUUGCAUAUUCAACCAAAAAUCAAAGUUUUCCUUUGGAAAGCCAUUCUUAAUGCAAUUCCAGUCAAGGUAAAUUUAAAUAUCAGAAGGAUUCAUGUGGAUCCUUUGUGCUCUAUCUGCUCCAAAGAGUCAGAAUCUUUAGAACAUGCUCUGUUUUGGUGUGACCACGCUAAAGCCACAUGGUUCUCUACUCCAUGUUCUUAUAAACCAAGCAGUAUUACUUUUUCUUCUUAUGUGCAGUGGUGGCAAUCACUUUGGGUUGCUUUUGGUAAUGAGCCUCACUGUCAAGAUCUAAUGUGUGCUAUAGCUAUUACGCUCUAGGCAAUAUGGAAGGAAAGAA
rnacentral:misc_RNA from 1 species